AUUUGAUGCUGUAGACAUUUAAUGAUAAGCUUAUUAAAUCGCUUUCAAUAUUCAUAGAGUGUUUCACCUGAUUUUUGUUUGAUGCCACAUAUCGCAUUCCUCAGAAU